GAUGAAGAACGUAGCGAAAUGCGAUACGUAAUGUGAAUUGCAGAAUUCAGUGAAUCAUCGAAUCUUUGAACGCACAUUGCGCCCGCCAGUAUUCUGGCGGGCAUGCCUGUUCGAGCGUCAUUUCAACCAUCAAGCCCCAGGCUUGUGUUGGGGACCUGCGGCUGCCGCAGGCCCUGAAAACCAGUGGCGGGCUCGCUGUCACACCGGGCGUAGUAGAUUUUAUCUCGCUCAGGGCGUGCUGCGGGUUCCGGCCGUUAAAAAGCCUUUUUUACCCAAGGUUGACCUCGGAUCAGGUAGGAAGACCCGCUGAACUUAAGCAUAUCAAUAAGCGGAGGA
rnacentral:misc_RNA from 1 species